rnacentral:miRNA from 1 species
GUGUAUUUGACAAGCUGAGUU